rnacentral:tRNA from 1 species
GGGUGAUUACCCAAGUCCUAUUUGAAGGGAGCAGUCUUGAAAGCUGCUUAAGGGCUUCACUACCGCGGGGGUUCGAAUCCCUCAUCACCCGCCA